GACGAACGCUGGCGGCGUGCCUAAUACAUGCAAGUAGGACGCAGUUGCGAACGGGUGAGUAACGCGUAGGUAACUACCUAUUAGAGGGGGAUAACUAUUGGAAACGAUAGCUAAUACCGCCUACUAGUAGAUGGACCUGCGUUGUAUUAGCUAGUAGGUAGGGUAAUGGCCUACCUAGGCAACGGUACAUAGCCGACCUGGGAAGGUGAUCGGCCAAACUGGGACUGAGACACGGCCCAGACACCGACGGGAGGCAGCAGUAGGGAAUCUUCGGCAAAGGGGGGAACCCUGAACAAGCAACGCCGCGGGGGUGAAGAAGGUUUUCGGGUCGUAAAGCUCUGUUGUGAAGGAAGCGGUACUUAACCAGAAAGGGACGGCUAACUACGUGCCAGCAGCCGCGGUAAUAC
rnacentral:rRNA from 1 species